rnacentral:lncRNA from 1 species
AUGCAUCCAUCCAUUCAUCCAUCUAUCCAUUCACUCAUCGCAUUUCUUGAGCACUUCCUGUGUUCAGGGCACUGCACUAAGCGCUCUCUUCAGGCUGCAGAGCUCCCGUCCUUCCAGAACAAUCGCAUAGAGAAGCUUCUCCAUUCUUUUGUUGAUCUUGGUGGCCCUCUCUGUGUCUUUUCCAGCGUUACCAUCCAUCCAUCCAUCCAUCCAUCCAUCCAUCCAUCCAUCCAUCCAUCCAUCUAUUCAUUCAGCCAUCCAUUCAUUCAUUCAUUCAGCCAGCCAUCCAUUCAUUCAUUAAUCUCAUUUAUUGAGCACUUCCUGUGUGCAGAGCUCUUUUCAGGCUGCAUCUUUUCCAGCUUUACUAUUCAUCCAUUCAUCCAUCCAUUCUGUAUCUUUAUUCUUCCCUGUAUCUUUUCCAGCUUUACUAUUCAUUCAUUCAUCAUUCAUCCAUUCAUCCAUCCAUUCAUUCAUCCAUUCAUCACAUUUAUUGAGCACUUCCUGUGUGCAGAGCACUGUACUAAGCGCCCUUGUCAGGCUGCAGAGUUCCAGUCCUUCCAGAACAAUCGCAUAGAGAAGCUUCUCCAUUCUUUUGUUGAUCUUGGUGGCCCUCUCUGUGUCUUUUCCAGCGUUACUAUUCAUCCAUCCAUCCAUCCAUCCAUCCAUCCAUCCAUCCAUCCAUCCAUCCAUCCAUCCAUCCAUCUAUUCAUUCAGCCAUCCAUUCAUUCAUUCAGCCAGCCAGCCAUUCAUUCAUUAAUCUCAUUUAUUGAGCACUUCCUGUGUGCAGAGCACUUUUCAGGCUGUAUCUUUUCCAGCUUUACUAUUCAUCCAUUCAUCCAUCCAUUCUGUAUCUUUAUUCUUCCCUGUAUCUUUUCCAGCUUUACUAUUCAUUCAUUCAUCAUUCAUCCAUUCAUCCAUCCAUUCAUUCAUCCAUUCAUCACAUUUAUUGAGCACUUCCUGUGUGCAGAGCACUGUACUAAGCGCCCUUGUCAGGCUGCAGAGUUCCAGUCCUUCCAAAGCAGUCUCACAGAGAAGCCUCUCUGA